rfam:Dactylellina haptotyla CBS 200.50 unplaced genomic scaffold scaffold00324, whole genome shotgun sequence.
GCUCGGUUAACAUAAAAGUAAUGUAUCCGUUUUGUAAUCGGAAAAAGUAAGUGCGAUUCUUACACUGAGUU